AUGACUCCCCAGAGAAGAAGAGUACACGGGUAUGAGUAUAGCCUUCCCAUACCGGGUUCGUGGGUACCUAUUGCCGUGUUGAAGUGGGGUGACGACAUUGCAGUGACAUCCCAUGGUUUCUUCAUGCUCGACGGUGUCUUGCUCUGCACUGCACUCUGCUUUUUUAGCUUUGCCCUCUUUGUUUCUUUUUGUGAGGACUGUCUGAUUUUCUUUUAUCUGCUUUCUAAGAUAAUUUCAUCGACGCUUUCUAUCAUUUGGCUGUGUGGCUUUAUUUAUAAAGCGGGGUGCAAAUCUGUUUCGAGAAAUUCAGUUUCCAUAUUAGUCUUUUACUAA
rnacentral:rRNA from 1 species